rnacentral:misc_RNA from 1 species
CCAGAGAUGGCGGGCCCCCGCGCCCCCGUCCCCAACCCUUUGUCGACCCAAUACCUUUUUGCCUCGGGGGCAGAGCGGCCGCCGCGUCGCCGCUCCCGGAGGACCACCAAACUCUGUCUCUAUACGUCGGAGUCUUUUGAUGAAUCAGUCA